rnacentral:rRNA from 1 species
UACGAAGGGGGCUAGCGUUGUUCGGAAUUACUGGGCGUAAAGCGCACGUAGGCGGAUAUUUAAGUCAGGGGUGAAAUCCCGGGGCUCAACCCCGGAACUGCCUUUGAUACUGGGUAUCUCGAGUCCGAGAGAGGUGAGUGGAAUUCCGAGUGUAGAGGUGAAAUUCGUAGAUAUUCGGAGGAACACCAGUGGCGAAGGCGGCUCACUGGCUCGGUACUGACGCUGAGACGCGAAAGCGUGGGGAGCGAACAGG